AACGCAACUUGCGCCCUUUGGUAUUCCAAGGGGCAUGCCUGUUUGAGUGUAGUUGAAACUUAUCAAGUCCUUCUCCCACUUUACUCUUGCGUGUGGGUGGUUGGGGGAUUUCUUGGAAACUGGAGUGUGCCGGGCCCUUGAUGGAUAUUUGCUGUCCUUCGAAGGGGGGUUUGGCUCCUCUGAAAUGCAUUAGCGGAGGCGGCGUGAGCACGAAAAGCCCGCGUCGGUUUGCAAUCUUAUUGGUUGGCAUUGAUAGCCUUUUUCAUGCCCUCCUGUGCAACCUGGCGUGCUUGCCCGUGUCUUCGUAGCCUUUGCUAUCGAAUGGUCCUCGAUAAACAGAGGACAAAAACCGUGCUUUCACAACGAAAUCACCUCAAAUCAGGCAGGACUACCCGCUGAACUUAA
rnacentral:misc_RNA from 1 species